GACGAACGCUGGCGGCGUGCUUAACACAUGCAAGUCGAACGGAAAGGCCCUGCUCUUGCGGGGUGCUCGAGUGGCGAACGCGUGAGUAACACGUGAGUAACCUGCCCUUGACUUUGGGAUAUCUUCAGGAAACUGGGGCUCAUACCGGAUAGGAGCUCUUGCUGCAUGGUGGGGGUUGGAAAGUUUCGGCGGUUGGGGAUGGACUCGCGGCUUAUCCGCUUGUUGGUGGGGUAGUGGCUUACCAAGGUUUUGACGGGUAGCCGGCCUGAGAGUGUGACCGGCCACAUUGGGACUGAGAUACGGCCCAGACUCCUACGGGAGGCAGCAGUGGGGAAUAUUGCACAACGGGCGGGAGCCAGAUGCAGCAGCGCCGCGUGCGUAAUGACGGCCUUCGGGUGGUAAACCGCUUUCGCAGGAGACAAAGCGUGAGUGACGGUAAUGGGUAAAGAAGCACCGGCUAACUACGUG
rnacentral:rRNA from 1 species